GUCCACGCCGUAAACGAUGGAUACUAGCUGUUGGGGGCGACCUCAGUGGCUAAGCGAAAGUGAUAAGUAUCCCACCUGGGGAGUACGUUCGCAAGAAUGAAACUCAAAGGAAUUGACGGGGCCCGCACAAGCGGUGGAGCAUGUGGUUUAAUUCGAUGAUACGCGAGGAACCUUACCAAGGCUUAAAUGUAGAUUGACCGGUUUGGAAACAGACUUUUCGCAAGACAAUUUACAAGGUGCUGCAUGGUUGUCGU
rnacentral:rRNA from 1 species